ACCGGCGCUUAACGCUGCCGCCGUCUGAUUGCCCGCCCGUCCCCCGCAUGGCAGUCAGACCCGGACAAAGGCCUCAUCCCCUCUCCGGGCCUUUGUCCCCAUAUUCAGAGCCGCCAUGGUCCCGCCUCCAGACCAUGGCGGCUUC
rnacentral:sRNA from 1 species